rnacentral:tRNA from 1 species
CGGGGCGUAGCGCAGCUUGGUAGCGCACCUGCCUUGGGCGCAGGGGGUCGGAGGUUCGAAUCCUCUCGCCCCGACCA